GGAAGAUGGGCGCUGAGCAGCUAGGCAGAUCUCAGGCGGCAGGAAGGACCACUCACUCACUACUUUGCCAGAUGGCUAUAACCUGGAUCAUGUGUGACCUAAGUAGAGCCCUACAGUGGCAACCAGGAGGCUAUGGUUACAUUCGUCACCCCUCCUUGCCUUUGUCUGUACAUCCACAGACGGCAACUGUCAUUUCUACUUGCCACAGCGGCCUGGGAUGAGACGGUAUGUCUCUCCUCACAGAUGGGGAGAGCCUUUUCCCUGACAGACGAGACUCAGCAUCUGAAGGCAGCUCCUCUGUAGGCUCGUAGCCCCAGGAGAGAACAAGAGACCUGCCAUCUCCCACUGCCUCAUCCUUGACAGCUUAACACCAAUCUCCAACUUGGCCUGCUCUGUGAACUGACUAAUCUGACCAACCUCUGACAAACAGGCAAGUCCACCUGUGGCAAGCAGGUGUAGGAGAUCUGAGGGGACUCACCCUCGUGGCUUGGCUGUGUGACCCUGGCGAGAAGAAGUGACAUCUCUGGGCUGUAGGUUUGGGUCUGUGAAGUGAGGAGUGUGGCUAACUGCCCGGCCUCUGUUCCUCUGCCCUCUUCUGUUCCUUUCUGAGCACCUUCCCCCGGCAGCUUAAGUUUCUUGUCUUGAUAUUGACAUCCUGAGCUCCCAAAGCCACUCCUUCAGGCUUUUCUGUGUCCCUUCAGCUCUACCUACUCCCUUCACCUGCUGAGUCUCCCCUGGGCACUUGCAGGACCCCUCAGAUAUCAGCUCUUUAUUUUACACAUAAUGGCGGUGGUUAGUCCUUUCCGGAGCACAGGGGCUUCUGUCCUGGGUUCUGGCCCAUCGUGGGACUUGUGGUCUACUAGCUGGUGCCUAGGGCCAAGGCCAUUCAGCAGAGGUGUGAGUGGCAGGGACUGUUCAGCUCUCAGUGUGUCACCCCCACCCCUCACCUCACCCCGGCCAGCCCCUGGCUCUCGGAAGCUUCACCCGGUCUCCUGCCUUCCAAUGGCCUUGUCCUCUGUGAUCCACGGUGCCUGCCGGAGUCCUCGGGAUGACAUUCCCAGGCCCUCAGUGGUCUGGAAGCCCUUCCUUCCGGCGGGUUCACCACCCCCAUGAGGAACCGUUUCUCCAACAGGUGCUUUGAGCCCAGCCUCAACCUCAACCCAUCACAGUGCUCUGUGGGUCCACCCCAGGAGCUCCUGGGCCAGCCUGAGCUCCUGUAAUGACCUCCAUUCACAUCGACAGCAACCCCAGACUCUCGCUACGUUCAGGGUGCCAAGACUAGAGCAAAGAAAGAAACCUGUGACCUUCUUCCCAGGCACACUGGAGGGAGGGAGGGAGUUCCUCCCAGGCUUCUGCCCUGCUAUGGUUCUGCCUCACUGCCCCCAGUUACAGGCCCCACCCCUCUGUCAUGUCUGUCUCCUCCCCUAGCACAUGCCCUCCGAAGGGCAGGCAGGGGCUGCUUGUUCUGUCCUUCUGUCCUCUGUUCUGUCCCCAGCACCGAGGACAGUGCCAGGCAGAGGAAACCUUGGUUGAAGAGAGGAAUGGAAUCCUUGCAUGCACAGCAGAGGAGACGAAACAGCAGCCACUUCAGUGUUAAACCGGGUGAUCGCGGAGCCUCUCCAAGGAGGUGGCGUGGCAGAGGCCCAGCGACUUGUUCGAGCGAGGAAUGUUCUGGUACAGGAGUUAGUCGGUGCAAAGGCCCUGAUGCCUGGCUCAGCCUGGACUGUGGGAGCUCACUCAGCAGGAGUGGUGGGAGCUGAACCGUUCAGUGGAGGCCAGAGCAGGCAGAGCCAGGGUGGAAAGGGGGUUGAGCCUUUUUCCUGGAGAGUAAACUGAGGCCGGGGGAAGCUAAGUGCCACAAAACAAGGGUCAGAGGUCUGGCCAGACCUGGGGCUGCUGGGAUGUGGGGCCAGAGACUCAAGGCUCCUCACCCCAGGAGGCCCCAUGACUCUGCUCAUUAAUAGCUAACCAGGGUGGGGCCCUGCUGGGCUAAGUAUGGGCUGAGCCCUGAGCCUUUGGGGCAAAACCUGGUAACAAAUGAGGGGAUGGCCUCCUCCCCUUGUGUCAUACCAUCUUGUCCUUUGAGCAGGGCCGUUGCCAUCAGAGGAUGUCCAAUUUUAUAGUCAUGCAGACUAGCUGGGAUAUCACCAGCCAAGGACACAGAGACACAUGGCAAAGUGUAGGCUAGUUAGGCCACUUAGAACCUUCCCAGGGUUAUGUCACAAUUAGGCUCCCGGAGUCCUCCCCUCCUCAGCUUCCCCACAGCCCUUCAGGAUCCCCCUACUUACAGCCAACCAUGUUCACCCCUUCUCUCCAUGAGGCCUUUACCCUGGCUAGUCCCUGUGCCAGAGACUCGUGUCCCUUGUCCUCAGGUUUGGGAAGCAAUUCAAAGGCUACCUUUUCAAAGCCCUGACCACCUGUCACACAGGCCUGUCCCGAGGCCUUGCUCUCCAUCACAGGGCCCUUUCAGGUCUCUUGGGGGCCUUAACAAAAGUGAACCACUUCAUGACUGCUGGCCCACCUGUUCUAGGUGCCCUGACCUCUUUGGGAUGUAAGCACCCCCAUGAUCUUGUUCCCUGGAGUCUCCCCAGGGCCUUGCAGACAAUAGAUAAGCAAUAAACAUUUGUGGAAUCUCA